GACGAACGCUGGCGGCGUGCCUAAUACAUGCAAGUCGAGCGAAGUUUUUCUGGUGCUUGCACCGGAAAAACUUAGCGGCGAACGGGUGAGUAACACGUAAAGAACCUGCCUCAUAGACUGGGACAACUAUUGGAAACGAUAGCUAAUACCGGAUAACAGCAUUAACUGCAUGGUUGAUGUUUGAAAGUUGGUUUUGCUAACACUAUAAGAUGGCUUUGCGGUGCAUUAGCUAGUUGGUGGGGUAAAGGCCUACCAAGGCGACGAUGCAUAGCCGACCUGAGAGGGUGAUCGGCCACACUGGGACUGAGACACGGCCCAGACUCCUACGGGAGGCAGCAGUAGGGAAUCUUCCGCAAAGGGCGAAAGCCUGACGGAGCAACGCCGCGUGAGUGAAGAAGGAUUUCGGUUCGUAAAGCUCUGUUGUUAGGGAAGAAUGAUUAUGUAGUAACUAUACAUAGUAGAGACGGUACCUAACCAGAAAGCCACGGCUAACUACGUG
rnacentral:rRNA from 1 species